rnacentral:rRNA from 1 species
AAAAACAUAACCUUUAGACAAACAAAUAUUAAAGGCAACGCCUGCCCAGUGAACAAUUAAACGGCCGCGGUAUCCUAACCGUGCAAAGGUAGCAUAAUCAUUUGUCUACUAAUUAUAGACCUGCAUGAAAGACUAAAUGAGGGUCUAACUGUCUCUUAUAAUAAAUCAAUUAAACUGAUCCCCCAGUAAAAAAGCUGGGAUUACACCAUAAGACCAGAAGACCCUGUGAAGCUUAAACCAAACUAUUAAACCCAAUAAUAGCUAGUUUCGGUUGGGGCGACCUUGGAAAAAAAAAGAACUUCCAAGACCCAGCACAGCUGAUAAAUGAACCAAGUUACUCCAGGGAUAACAGCGCAAUCUUCUUCAAGAGCCCAUAUCAAAAAGAAGGUUUACGACCUCGAUGUUGGAUCAGGACAUCCUAAUGGUGCAGCCGCUAUUAAGGGUUCGUUUGUUCAACGAUUAACAGUCCUACGUGAUCUG